UACGUAGGGCGCAAGCGUUGUCCGGAAUUAUUGGGCGUAAAGAGCUCGUAGGCGGUUUGUCGCGUCUGCUGUGAAAUCCCGAGGCUCAACCUCGGGCUUGCAGUGGGUACGGGCAGACUAGAGUGCGGUAGGGGAGACUGGAAUUCCUGGUGUAGCGGUGGAAUGCGCAGAUAUCAGGAGGAACACCGAUGGGCGAAGGCAGGUCUCUGGGCCGCAACUGACGCUGGAGGAGCGGAAAGCAUGGGGAGCGAACAGG
rnacentral:rRNA from 1 species